rnacentral:ncRNA from 1 species
AUGUUACUGCCACCGGGUAGGAAUGCUUUAGGCAUUCAGUCUCAUCGUUAGGUCUUAGAAGAUGGACAAUCAAAAUAAAAGGAGC